rnacentral:rRNA from 1 species
AUUGAACGCUGGCGGCAUGCUUUACACAUGCAAGUCGAACGGUAACAGCACUUCGGUGGCUGACGAGAGGCGAACGGGUGAGUAAUACAUCGGAACGUGCCUAGCAGUGGGGGAUAACUACUCGAAAGAGUAGCUAAUACCGCAUGAGAUCUAAGGAUGAAAGCAGGGGACCUUCGGGCCUUGCGCUACUAGAGCGGCUGAUGGCAGAUUAGGUAGUUGGUGGGAUAAAAGCUUACCAAGCCGACGAUCUGUAGCUGGUCUGAGAGGACGACCAGCCACACGGGGACUGAGACACGGACAAGACUCCUACGGGAGGCAGCAGUGGGGAAUUUUGGACAAUGGGCGCAAGCCUGAUCCAGCAAUGCCGCGUGCAGGAUGAAGGCCUUCGGGUUGUAAACUGCUUUUGUACGGAACGAAAAGCCCUCUUCUAAUACAGGAGGGUCAUGACGGUACCGUAAGAAUAAGCACCGGCUAACUACGUG